GUACAUUAAACCCACUUUGACUGAAGACAAAUACGGCGAUGGAUUCUUAAACAGUGGUGUUCUGAACAUAUGGGGCGCAUCACCGGCUGAUCUUUGUACUGGUAACUAUUACUAUGGCUGUGAGAGAUCGGGAAGUGCUAGCAACUACAUCAACCCUAUCCAAUCCGCCAGACUUAGGACUGUCAAAUCCUUUGCAUUUACUCACGGUAGAUUGGAAGUCGAAGCUAAGAUGCCGACUGGAGACUGGCUCU